rnacentral:lncRNA from 1 species
UCUUUUGGUUGUAUCAUCAUCAACUAAUCACUGUCGUAUUUUCUGCCUAAUGAUGCACCAUGCUCCUUGAUAAUCCAGACUGAUUGUAGAAGAAUGUCUUGUUGUGUAGAGUAUAGCUCAUCCUUGCUCUGAAGUCACAUGUACAAAGUGAAAGACUUUAGAAAAUGGAAAACAAAUAUGAGAAGUACAUAUCAAAGCACACCAGACUUGAAAUAAGAAAUGUCAAGUAUUAAGCAUAUAAAACAUUAGUCAGAAGGAAGAAGAAAUAAUUAAAUAUGUAAUUCAAUCGGUCGACUACCAUAGAGAUCAGUGACUCAUUAAAGUUAUAAAACCACACAGAAAGCCAUUGACACUUAUGUUCAGCAAUAAAUGAAUCACAGUGUCUGCAAAUUCUUGCUAUUUAAGAUGGCAAGGUCUCUCAUUACCGCACAAAGAAAUCUUCCAAUCAAAUCAUACUCACUCAGGGGAUCGGACUUUGCGGGUAGGUAUAAGGCGUGAGUGGGCCAGGGGACACAAAAUAAAGCGGGGGUAGAAAAGCCAAUAAUACUGACCAGAUGAUAUUUGCAAUGUACAGUUUUUAAACUUAAGCCGAAUAACAUAACCACCAGGUUCUAGUUCUGUACUUAAUUUAGAAUGAUAAAAUUAAUGCAGUUGAAGCAGGAAAAAAGGAACUUAACCAU